AUUGAACGCUGGCGGCAUGCUUUACACAUGCAAGUCGAACGGUAACAGGCCGCAAGGUGCUGACGAGUGGCGAACGGGUGAGUAAUGCAUCGGAACGUGCCCAGUCGUGGGGGAUAACGCAGCGAAAGCUGUGCUAAUACCGCAUACGAUCUAUGGAUGAAAGCGGGGGACCGUAAGGCCUCGCGCGAUUGGAGCGGCCGAUGUCAGAUUAGGUAGUUGGUGGGGUAAAGGCCCACCAAGCCAACGAUCUGUAGCUGGUCUGAGAGGACGACCAGCCACACUGGGACUGAGACACGGCCCAGACUCCUACGGGAGGCAGCAGUGGGGAAUUUUGGACAAUGGGCGCAAGCCUGAUCCAGCAAUGCCGCGUGCAGGAAGAAGGCCUUCGGGUUGUAAACUGCUUUUGUACGGAACGAAACGGUCUGGGUUAAUGCCUCGGGCUAAUGACGGUACCGUAAGAAUAAGCACCGGCUAACUACGUGCCAGCCGCCGCGGUAACAC
rnacentral:rRNA from 1 species